GCGCCUUUAGCUGAGAUGGAUUAGUGGCGGGUUGAAGUUCCGCAGAGGUUGGAUCGUUACCAACAGGGCGCACCA
rnacentral:tRNA from 1 species